UGUAAGCGUAUACCAAAGUUGUUGCAGUUAAAACGCUCGUAGUUGGAUUUCGGAUGGGAUUUGCCGGUCCGUCGUUACGAUGUGCACUGGCCAGUCCUAUCUUGUUGUCGGGGACUAGCUCCUUGGAUUCACUUCCUGGGACUAGGAGCUGACGAGGUUACUUUGAGUAAAUUAGAGUGUUCAAAGCAAGCCUACGCUCUGAAUACAUUAGCAUGGAAUAACACGAUAGGACUCUGGCUUAUCUUGUUGGUCUGUGAGACCAGAGUAAUGAUUAAGAGGGACAGUCGGGGACAUUCGUAUUUCAUUGUCAGAGGUGAAAUUCUUGGAUUUAUGAAAGACGAACUUCUGCGAAAGCAUUUGUCAAGGAUGUUUUCAUUAA
rnacentral:rRNA from 1 species